AUCCUGGCUCAGGACGAACGCUGGCGGCGUGCCUAACACAUGCAAGUCGAGCGGAGCUAUUAGCAAUAAUAGUUUAGCGGCGGACGGGUGAGUAACGCGUGGGCAACCUGCCUCACACUGGGGGAUAACACAGGGAAACUUGUGCUAAUACCGCAUAACAUCAUGAAAGGACAUCCUUUUAUGAUCAAAGGAGCAAUCCGGUGAGAGAUGGGCCCGCGUCCAAUUAGCUAGUUGGUGGUGUAACGGACCACCAAGGCGACGAUUGGUAGCCGAACUGAGAGGUUGAUCGGCCACAUUGGGACUGAGAUACGGCCCAGACUCCUACGGGAGGCAGCAGUGGGGAAUAUUGCGCAAUGGGGGAAACCCUGACGCAGCAACGCCGCGUGAAGGAUGAAGGUUUUCGGAUCGUAAACUUCUUUGAUGA
rnacentral:rRNA from 1 species